rnacentral:rRNA from 1 species
AUGGCAGCAUGCAGCCGUUCUCCUACCUUCCUCCGUGAGGCCGAGCUCCGCCUCCUGCGCUGUACCCUCCCCACCGCAGCCUCCCGACCACUGACCCCUUCACCUCCCCCGGUCCACCCGCUCGGCCCCGUCGCCGCCUCCGCCCUCGCAGCUGUCGAGCAUGGGGACUACGCGGCUGCGCUCGCCUCCGCUGUCCCGCACAUCCUGCGCGCCUCUGCCUUAACCGUGGCUGACCAUGACUCCCCUGCGCAGUUCUACGAACACCUCGCUGCCGCUGCCGAGCUGUUCGUCCUGGGGGAUGUCGGAGGGGGGGCGGCGGACGAGGGGUUCGAGUGCAGGUGCGCGCUUGUUCUCUCCGCAGCGGUGGCGGCGCUGCUCGCAUUCACGCAGCAGAACGUGACAGGGCCUCCAAGAAAAUGUCCACCUGGUCCUUUCUUUAGUACUUCAUCAUUGGAUGACGGCUGGUAUAUUGAUGCUGGAGGCAAGCAGGAUCAAUUGGCCUCCUUUGAUUCACAUGUUCAUGGGAAAUUCGUUCCUUUCUGGACUUCAUCAUUGGUUGAAAUGUGGUAUAGUGACUCUGGAGGCAAAUGGCAGGCAUGGGCUUCUCAUCAUUUAGCUUCUUUUGGUUCCCAUGUUAAUGGGAAAUUCUUGCUCUUGCAGUUAAUUGUCUUUGCGGAACUUCUGUUGACAAGCAUAAAGAGCCUAGACUCUGAUUUUUGGAGUAUAUCAUGGUGGCUGUGCAGAUUAUCCAUGUCCCAGCAGAAUAUUUUAGAUGAGCUAUCAUCCUCUUUGUUUGAUCAAGUACAGGUGUACAAAAAUAAAAUGUUGGCCCACUUUGGUGAACUUGAAACGGUUUCUAGCUACUGGGGUUCUUUAUUAGGUGAUGGAGAAGGCUCUUCUUUAGUCUCAGCUGCUCUUUUAGAAGCUGGACUUGCAGAGUAUAAGAAUGGUCGAGUUGAUGCUUCAAGGUUGCAUCUGGAUAGUGCUGAAAAGGUAUGUGGGAUUCAUCUUUCCCUCACAGGGAUCCUUGGUUUUCGAACAAUACACCAGGUGGACGCGAAGUCCCAAAUGGUACUUAUUACAAAGACCACUAAACCAGCAGCUGAUGAGGGGCAAUCGACAGAUCAAAGAGGAGCUCCGGAUGAUGUUGUGGCUUUGAGAAAGAUGAGGAGCUCUGUUCCUGGUGAAAGCGAUGAAUUUUGUGAUAUACUAAGAAAGCCUUUGCUAACAGAAAAUGUGAACGGCUCGAGUAGUGGAAGCACACAGAUAUCACUAACUCCGGUCCAGCAGGCUGCUGUACUUGCACAAUGUUUACAUGUUAGUCGGAGGAGUCGGAGUGAUGAAAUGUCUGAAUGGGAGAUGGCACCGUACAUAGAGUCAAUUGAUUCUCAAGAUGAUUCGUGCUAUGUGGUCAGGUGCCUGUGUGAUAUUCUGCGUAUUAGGUGGGAGUCCACCCGCAGUCGGACAAAACAGCGUGCACUGUUAAUGAUGGAGAAUUUGAUUGAAGAAACGAACAAAGAAUUUCCAGUGGCUUCAGAAAGAGCCAGAUUGGUUUUUGGAGUCCAUAUGCCGACUCUCCCUGCAUUAAGGAAAGAAUAUGGCGACCUGUUGAUAAGCUGUGGUUUACUUGGAGAAGCCCUGAAUGUUUUCAAAGAUCUCGAAUUGUGGGAUAAUCUUAUCUAUUGCUAUCGAUUAUCGGGUAAAGUUGCUGAUGCAGUUAGUCUAAUAAAUACACGGCUCUCCAUUACACCCAAUGACCCAAAAUUAUGGUGUUCACUUGGUGACGCUACAAAUAACGAUGAUCAUUAUAAGAAAGCAUUGGAAGUCUCCAAUAAUAAAUCUGCUCGAGCUCUGCGUUCUCUGGCUCGUAGUGCGUACAACAAGAACGACUUCUAUACAUCCAAAAUUCUUUGGGAAUCUGCAUUGGCAUUGAAUGCGUUGUAUCCAGAUGGCUGGUUUGCCUAUGGUAUAACUGCAUGGAAGGAUAAAGAUCUUGAGAAGGCUUUGGAUGCUUUUAGUCGUGCUGUGNNNNNNNNNNNNNNNNNNNNNNNNNNNNNNNNNNNNNNNNNNNNNNNGCACAUGAUUAGAGGGAGAAGUCAAGUAUCAGUCCAGUCAUUCAGGGAAGCUGUUAAGUUCAAGAGGAAUAGUUGGCAAGUUUGGGAAAAUUACAGUAAGGUUGCUUUGGACACACACAAUAUUCGACUGACACUUGAAGCUACCAAAAUGGUAUUAAAUUUGUCCUUCAACAAGCGCUUCAAUGUUGAUUUAUUGGACAGGGUGAUGACCACCCUCGAAGAACAAGCUACUCAUCUUGAUGAUACUCAAGACGCUAAAUCCAUCGGCAACACUUCAGAUGAUUCAAAUAAAGAGACCAGGCAAUCAAGUCAAUUAUUAGAUAUAAUUGGUGAUAUCCUUGAGCAGAUUGUAAACAGUGGGGCUAGCGUUCCAGAGAUAUGUGGAUUAUCUGCUAGAUACCAUAAGAGCAAGGGUGACCUUGAGAAAUGUUCUAAAGCUUUGCGCAGUCAAGUUCAGUAUCUAAAGGGUUCAGAAUUAUGUCAUGACCAUAAGAAGUUCAAAAAGUAUGCUCAAGCUUCUUUGCAGCUUUGCAAGUUCUACAUGGAAAUUUCAUCCAUGACAGGAAGCAAAAAAGAAUUAUUGUUAGCGGAGAUGCAUCUUAAAAGCUCCUUGAAAGAGGGCUUGAACUUUGUAGGCUCAAAGGAGUAUAAAGAACUUGAUGACUGCCUUGUUGAAUUAAAGGACCUGAUUGGUGCUGCCUAG